GCCAGGAGUGGUGGCACAUGCCUUUAAUCCCAGCACUCAGGAGGCAGAGGCAGGAGGAUCACUGUGAGAUUGAGGCCAGCCUGGUCUAUAUAGGGAGCUCCAGGCCAGCUGGAGCUACAGGGAAACACUGUCCCAAAACCAAAAUAAAUAGUUAAAUAGUUUUUGAGACAGGGUCUCCCUGUAGCCCCAGCUGUUCUGGAACUCACUAUGUAGACCAGGCUGGCCUCAGUCUCACAGAGAUCCACCUGCCUCU
rnacentral:sRNA from 1 species